rnacentral:rRNA from 1 species
AUGAACGCUAGCGGCAGGCCUAAUACAUGCAAGUCGAACGGGAUCAGGGAGCUUGCUCCCUGUGAGAGUGGCGCACGGGUGCGUAACACGUAUGCAACCUACCUUCAACUGGGGGAUAGCCUUCCGAAAGGGAGAUUAAUACCGCAUAAUAUAAUUGAACGGCAUCGUUUAAUUAUCAAACGUCAGGGUUGAAGAUGGGCAUGCGUCCGAUUAGUUUGUUGGUGAGGUAACGGCUCACCAAGACUACGAUCGGUAGGGGAUCUGAGAGGAUGACCCCCCACACUGGUACUGAGACACGGACCAGACUCCUACGGGAGGCAGCAGUAAGGAAUAUUGGUCAAUGGACGAAAGUCUGAACCAGCCAUGCCGCGUGCAGGAAGACGGUCCUCUGGAUUGUAAACUGCUUUUGUUAGGGAAGAAACCCUCGGAUGCGUUCGAGGCUGACGGUACCUAAAGAAUAAGGAUCGGCUAACUCCGU